UACGUAGGGAGCAAGCGUUGUCCGGAAUCAUUGGGCGUAAAGCGCGCGUAGGUGGCCCCAUAAGUCCGCUGUGAAAGUCAAAGGCUCAACCUUUGAAAGCCGGUGGAUACUGUGGGACUAGAGUACGGAAGAGGCGAGUGGAAUUCCUGGUGUAGCGGUGAAAUGCGCAGAUAUCAGGAGGAACACCAAUUGCGAAGGCAGCUCGCUGGGACGUCACUGACGCUGAGACGCGAAAGCGUGGGGAGCAAACAGG
rnacentral:rRNA from 1 species